rnacentral:rRNA from 1 species
CAGCACCUCAAGUGGUCAGGAUGAUUAUUGGGCCUAAAGCAUCCGUAGCCGGCGCUGUAAGGUUGCGGUUAAAUCUGUACGCUCAACGUACAGGCUGCCGGGAAUACUGCAGCGCUAGGGAGUGGGAGAGGUAGACGGUACUCGGUAGGAAGGGGUAAAAUCCUUUGAUCUAUUGAUGACCACCUGUGGCGAAGGCGUCUGACUAGAAUGGGUUCGACAGUGAGGGACGAAAGCCAGGGGAGCGAUCCGGAUUAGAGACCCGAGUAGUCC